UAUAACUGAACCAACCUGGUGCUCUUCAUUUAUGGAGGCUGUUGAGUCUGAAUGUUGGAUGUUGUGUAUCUCGUGUUCUCUGGGCUUUGUUGUCCUCAGUCUUUUUGCAGGAUCAGAAAACAAAACCGGGAGGCGCGUAAAUGUUUCUUCUCCAUGAUGUUUCUUCAAAUGUUUCUUCUGGAUGAUGAUAUGACCGUGACACGGGAUGCCACCUUUGGUCUUGUGACGAAGCAAAGCUCAGGAAGAAGUGUGAUUAAAUGAGCAGAGCAGCAGUUUGUGCUCACAGAUGGUGACGGUGUGGAGAGACGGUGGUAUUUCCUCAGAAGAACCAGCAGAGUCACAAAGGACACCAGUCCAUCUCACCACCUUGACUUGCUGACUGAUGUUCGUCUGCACUGCACAGAGGAAAUCAACUGACCGAGGAGCGUUUCUGAGUGAGGGGGAGAGGAGUCAUCAUCCAGGUAAAGUGACGUGGAUCAGUGGAUACACUUGUCUCCCCUUUAAAGGAGACGAUCCAAGUCAUCCUUAAAUAUGGGCAGUAUAUCAGUCUUGGACUGUCUAACCUGCCGGAGCAGCACUGAAUGACCACCGCACGAGCAUGUUCCUGCAACAUUCAGCAUCUGAUCCUUCAUCUGUGUGCUUCUGCUUUUGUGUCAAAUGUCAAACAGCUGGAGAGGAAACUACACCAGUGUACUGGGAUGUUUCAGCAACACGUGCCAGAUGCUGUUCCUUCAUGGUGACAUCACCAGAGACAGUCCCGCCCACCUCAGGACCCAUUGAUUAUGAUGAUCUGAUCCAUCAAACCCCCAGCAGUUACAGUACGUGAUAUCUUGAUAUCAGGCGGUCAACACUGGGGGAAGACAAGAAGCAGACGUACUUCCAAGAGGGAGCUGCAGUGAGGACACAGCCAGGUCACUGAGGUCAGAGGAGGCGCUGGAAGGUUUCCCUAAUAGUUCCUGGUGAAUCAAAGCAGAACCAUAAAGGUUGCUGGAUUGCAUGAUGGCCUUACCCCUGAGCAGUCAUCCUGUUAAAGGAGGAACCAGUUAGAAGCUGUUUUCAAAGUAGCUGAGCAGAUUUCAUCUCAACAGACAAAGCCGAUUGCAGAAGAUUUCGGAGAAGAACUUCAGGCCGUGUACUGAAAAGUAGAUCAAAUCAGCUCGUGCUGCUUCUGCUUCCAAUUUAAUGGCAAGAAGAAGAAGAAGAAUGCUUCAGCGAAGUGGCGUUCAUGGUCUCAGUGAACAGUCAUGGUCACACACUGCAUGUGGUUUUAAAAGCAACAUGUCUGUUCAGUACAACGAUCGAGAUGUGUAAUAUUAGUGCAGCUACGGUUUGUUCUUGAACAUCAGUUCUGUUUUCUACUUUGAUCACUUAGACCAAAAAAGUGUUGUUUUCAGAUUCUUUCUUUUAAAUCUAUAAAGCACCU